rnacentral:rRNA from 1 species
UACGUAGGGGGCAAGCGUUGUCCGGAUUUAUUGGGUUUAAAGGGUGCGUAGGCGGUCUAUUAAGUCAGUGGUGAAAUACUCCAGCUUAACUGGAGGGGUGCCAUUGAUACUGAUGGACUUGAGUGAAGUCGAGGUAGGCGGAAUUGACGGUGUAGCGGUGAAAUGCUUAGAUAUCGUCAAGAACACCAAUAGUGAAGACAGCUUACUAGGCUUAUACUGACGCUGAGGCACGAAAGUGUGGGGAUCAAACAGG